GACGAACGCUGGCGGCGUGCUUAACACAUGCAAGUCGAACGAGUGGCGAACGGGUGAGUAACACGUGGGUGAUCUGCCCUGCACUUCGGGAUAAGCUGGGGGAACUGGGUCUAAUACCGGAUAGUGUAGGAGGAGCCCGCGGCCUAUCAGCUUGUUGGUGGGGUAAUGGCUACCAAGGCGGGACGGGUAGCCGGCCUGGGAGGGUGGACGGCCACAUUGGGACUGUGUUACCGCCCGUACUCCUACGGGCGGCAGCAGUGGGGAAUAUUGCACAAUGGGCGCAAGCCUGAUGCAGCGACGCCGCGUGGGGGAUGGCUGCCUUCGGGUUGUAAACUCCUUUCGUUAGGGACGCGGUACUUGGUUAAGAAGCACCGGCUAACUACGUGCCAGCAGCCGCGGUAAUUC
rnacentral:rRNA from 1 species